rnacentral:tRNA from 1 species
AAGAGGUUAAUUUAAAUAAAAUAAUUAUUUGUCAAAUAAAAGAUACAUUUUCCUAAAAUUGUACUUCUUG